CUCCGUCAAGUCAUCCAUAAGAAAACCGCCCCUUGCACGCACGAUACCCACUCGCCCAAAUGCCACCGUCCUCGCUUGCCCACCCUCUACACGGCCGGCCGGCCGCCGCCGCCCCACACCACCGCUCCUCCGCUCGGCCGCUGCCCCACAGAUGCGAUCGCCGUUGCCGUCCGCAGCUCCUUCGCUAGGCUGCUGCCGCAUGGAUGCGGUCGCCGCCCGUCGUUCGGCUGAUGUGUGAUGUCCAGUCACCGCUUCCUCUGCUACGACGGGCCGCCGCCGACCUCCUCGGCCGAAAACCAUGGCCAUGGACCAAGCUCUGCCAGACCUUCUCUCGCGACUUCCGGCCUUCCUCUCGACCAGAUCGACAACGGGAUGCCCAGAUCUGACACGACGCCGUUCGUUUCCGCCUUGCCUAGCCGCACUGAGCAUCCGAACCACCUCCCCAGACAGCGCCGCCAUCGUCGCCAAGGCGGCGCCGGUCUCGGCCACGGCGCAGGAGGUGCCGUCGUCACCCUCCAUGUCGUCAUCUGGCUGGGCCGUCGAGGAUCUCCUGCAGUUCUCCCUACGGGCACCGUCAAGGGCACUGAUCGUCUAUCACAAAUCAAUCAGGGAUAAAAAAAGUGAGGUGCAACUCAAGCGAAUAAACAGUAGAAGAAUGAAGAAGUAAGCAGGGAGUGGAUGUAGAUCCUCCAAGGGAACAUCAAGGUAAGGCAUUAAACUGAAUUUGUGGCACUACUGAAUAUAUGAACUGGCUUGUUAGGACCAACUUAUCUGAAACUAAUGUGUGAAAAGCUGGACAGGGCGAAAUAAUUUGUAAGUAUAGUACAAAACUGUACGGAAAAUCUUAUGGCAAUUUUCCUAUUGAUGCUUCUAGGUACUGGUUGUGCCCACCUGUUGUGGGAUUGCUUCUACCUAAACCAUGUGGAUUACUCUUCGUACAAUUUUCUUGCAGUUAGUGUCGGGAACUCUGUGUACUUGUGAAAUGCAUGCAGCAACAAGGUCUGCCAACCAUUGUCAUUGUUGCAAGAUUACUUUUUUGAAAGUUGUAAAGAGAACGAGAGAUAGAACUAAGUAAGUUGCUCUAGCUCUCACCAAGCUAUGUCAUUGAGCAGGUCACUAAGCUUUGCUAUUCGGGUGCAUAUGACACUAAUUAUCCAGUGGGUUGGGCACAACAUGGCACUCAGCAGCCCGUAGGAAAGAAAUGGUUCUCUAAGUUGGGAUGGUAUUGUGAUUAAUUGUUGGCUUGUUGCCAUCAGAUUUACUUACAUGGUCAGCUUCCAGUGUUCAACUAUUAUAUGUAGCACCGCAGAUGCAUAUAUUACUAUUCAGUGUAUACUAAAGUUUUACUUUGCAGAAGAAAUGCAUGGCACAGAUGAUGUUACUUGCUGUUCUAGGUGUGGUGAUCUCAACAUUUUUGCUUGGCGCUGCUAUAAAGCUUACUUUUCCGUAUGAUUGGAACUGGAAAACAUCAUUCUUGUUCGGCGGACGCUCAGUGCAACCGAUCAUGUUACUAUGAUUGCUCUUCUAAAAGACCUAGGCGCAAGCAAAAAGCUCAGUACGAUAAUCGAAGGAGAAUCCUUAAUGAACGAUAGUGUUGCUCUGGGCCUUGCAUUUGGAAUCGCAUCUCUACUAUGGCUGGGCUUUAUUUUCGAUGGUACAAUCAUACAGAUUUCACUAACACUUGCAGUCAGAUAUAUGGCUUUCUUCACUGUAAGAUAAUCAGAUAACGGACAUAUCAAGGCUCUUAUAUUUCUAUUUUUAUCUCUAGAAGGACAUGAUUUGCUUAGUGUUUGGAAAUGGUUUUUAGCUUGAGUAAUAGAAUGGUUGUCAAGCAACCCUUUUUGCAACACUGCGAUGCUGUUUUAAUGGCUUGUGAUGGCAAUCCAGGGUCAUUUCUGGAUGCAUUCAUGUGUGCCAAUGAGGUUUCCAUGUACUGAUGAUGUAAUAUUAGAUUUUUUAUCUUGUCAAUUUCUUACCCUGGCAGUACGACUAUGUACUCAGACUACUA